UAACAGAGUUACCGGAAGAGUUAAAGAAGUUGGUAAAUCUGAAAUGUUUGAAUUUGAGGUGGACACAGCAUUUAAAUAAAAUUCCACGGCAACUAAUAUCAAAUUCUUCAAGGUUACGUGUGUUGAGAAUGUUCGCUACUGGCCGGUUCAAUUUUCAUGAAGCACCAGAAGACAGCGUUUUAUUUGGUGGGGGUGAAGUUUUAGUACAGGAAUUGCUCGGUUUGAAAUAUUUAGAGGUAUUGGAGUUGACCUUGGGAAGUUAUCAUGCUCUCCAAAUUCUUUUGAGCUCAAAUAAGUUAAAAAGUUGUAUUCGAUCUCUUUACCUCGAGUUGACCGGAGAUACAGCGUCAAUUAUUGAUGCUACGGCUUUCGCAGAUCUAAACCACCUCAAUGAAUUAUGUAUUGAUAAUGGUAUUGAGUUGGAAGAGUUGAAGAUUGAUUAUACGGAGAUAGUAAGAAAAAGGUGGGAACCUUUUGUUUUCCGCAGCCUUCACUGUGUUACCAUAUAUAGUUGCGGUAAAUUGAAAGAUUUGACAUUCCUCGUUUUUGCUUCAAACCUCAAGUCUCUUCGGCUACGCAAUUGCUAUGCUAUGGAAGAAAUAAUCAGCGUCGGAAAAUUUGCUGAGACUCCUGAGAUGAUGGGACAUAUAAGCCCUUUUGAAAAUCUCCAAAUGCUUGAUUUACAAGGUUUGCCACAUUUGAAGAGCAUCUUCUGGAAGCCAUUGCCUUUCACUCAUCUGAAAGAAAUGGAGGUACUUAGGUGCGAUCGGCUUGAAAAGCUUCCACUCGAUUCCAACAGGGCAAAGGAGCGUAAAUUUGUUAUUCGUGGAGAAGAAGACUGGUGGAACCGACUUCAAUGGGAGGAUGAAGCCACUCAAAUUGCUUUUCGUUCCUGUUUUAAAAGUGAUGCUUUAUUUAUAUCUUAUUCGUGAAAAGUGAUUUAAUUUCCUGCCAAAAGACGAACGAGAAGAACAUUAGAGUCAAACUAAUGCUCACAUAAAUUUCCCGUAAGAAUAUAUAAUUAGACUGGAAUGCACACCUCUAGAUUGAACAGAAUUAAAGCUGAGAAAAUAUUGAGUAUAGUAGCCCUCUUUACAGAAAAUGACGCGAAAGUUAAUUUAGAAAGAUAUAUUCUUGAUUAAUCCAUUUUCUGAAGUUUUUAUUUUGUAUGGUCAAUUAUACCUUCAUACUAAAAAUUUCUGAAGUUAUAAAUUAGUGCAACUUGACAAUUUUUACUGAUGAUAUCUUCUAUUUUUCCUUUUUUUUUUUUCACUUUCAUAGAAUGGCAGCGGAUCCUGCGUCACCAAUUUGAGAGAAUAUACUGACACUACUUCGAACAGCAAGCAGAAGAAGUAAUAUGUCUACGGCAAAGGCAAUGCAGUCCUCAUUUUGGCUUGAGAUGCAGUAAUCAUCGAAGAGAGUUUCCUUGUGAAACUGGGCAACACAUUGAAUCCCUUCGCCACUGAGAAGGUUGUGGAGGAAGUAAGCUUUCUCUCCAGUGAGGAAGAGGUGGCAUACCUUCCCCAUUUUGUCGAGGACAGGUAGGAAUCUUUUUUCUAAGAGAUUUACUUCGUUCUCUGUAAGAAAUGCUUUGAACUUCAUCCCUCUGUCUCUAUCCUCACUUAUCAGGAGAUAAGUUGAAAGCACUAUGAAGAGAGAGAGAGAGAGAGAGAGAGAGAGAAUUAAGAUAUAUAGACAAGAAAAAUAUUAGACGUUGAUCUUACAAACUAAUACUUCAAGCAGUAUCCUGGAAAGCUAAAAACUGCAAGAUGGCUUGAAAUUUGAAAAGAGCACAUGCUUUUCCUCCUUAACUUGAGAAAAUGUUUAAUAUAGUGCACCUUACAGAAGCAUUUAAGCAAUUAGAACUUUGCACAAAAACAUCAAGAAGACUAAACAAGUCAGAUGCAGUGUAUUUGUCCAAGCACAAAUUGCAUUUUGUCCUCAACUUUAAUAUUUAUUGAUGAGAAUCAAUACAGGUCCCUCAUUUGUUAUAGAAAGCUUUCUUUCUUGUAGUCUCACCAGUUAAUUCACAGGUCUAUAAUCAUCUUGCAAAGUUAAGGGCAUUUCUUUUGAUCUAAAGUCUUUGCAUCACCACCUCAUCACACGCCAAGCCAAUAUUCCAUUUACCUCUACAACAAAAAGUUUUAAUUAAACAAUCCUAAUGCACGCAGCCAAAUAAAAUGCAGUAAGAAUAUUCAACUUAAAAAUCUGAAAGCCAACUUGGUGAAUUUCCUCCUUAGGUGAAGUUCCAUGCUUUACUAUAGUUGACAGAACUCAGCAAAAGCUUCCAUACAACAGAUUUUGAAAAUGAUGAUGCCAACAGAUACUCAUUCAAUCCAUUGAAACUCCAAAGGUUCAUUGUUCAUAGAAGUUUACAGAGUUUUGGUCAUCAAAUAGCUCAGACCUAAUCCCAAACAAAAAACGAGUGAAAAUUAGAUCACGAGCAGCUAAUUGUAAAUUCUAACAACUCUUCAUCUCCUUUGUAAACAAGAAACAAAAUGGAGACACGCAAAAUGAAUAUGGAGAAAAUUUGAACUCAAAUGAAAUGAGGGCACGAAAGCAAACAAAUGGCAUGCACAAAAAAACCAAGCCUCAAUCAAAAACUAAUUAACCAUUAAGAAAAAAAUUGGUCAGAGAAUGAACUCCAAUUCAGGAGUCAAGCAAGAAGCUUUCAUUAUUUCAGAAGCUCCUGUACAAAUUAAUAAGUUAUGCUCUUUGGAAGCAAACCUAAAUUCCAAGAGAAACAGAACCCAAAAAAAUUUGUAAUUAUACGCAAAGGAAGUGAAGCACAGGAUUCUAUCACACAUAGGAAUUGUAUAACAAGAGAUCGAUAUAUCGAAUUAGAAAACUCAAUUCGAAUUUGUGUCAAAAAUCAAAAAUUUGCAAUUAUAGCGUUCUAUUUAGUGGUAAUGAAUUCUUGGUUUGGGAGUUGCUUAGUUUAAAACGUUUAAAUGUAUUAAGCAUCAUCUUGAAAAGUUUUUCUGCCGUCCAAAAACUUAUGAGCUUCCAAAAGUUGCAAAGCUGUACACAAUGCUUGGAGCUUGUAGACUGUGAUGAUCCAAAGUCAUUUGCCUUGGCAGAGUUGAAGCAUCUUGAAAAACUAGGUUUUUCGAGUUGUGGAAUAUUCAUGUAAGUGAAGUAACCGUCACAAUACUAGUGAAAUUGGGAGCUUUAUUCAUGAGUUUGUGGUUUUGAAAAGUACCACAGUUCAACUGGUGAAGGCUCCGUUUUGGGAUUCUUCUUUUUCUAGGCUGCAAUUAGGAUAUGUACAUGAUAGACAAUCUUUUGUUGGUUUAGCAUAUCUUCGCUGAUUUUGUCUUUUAUUCCCCAAUUUUAUAAUUACACACCAUGAAUGUUGGGUGAUUGUAUAGAAAAUUUGUGUUAUAACAAAAACAUUGUGAAGGAGUUUCUGUGCUAAUUGUUAGUGGCUUCUGUUUUAUUGGCAUUGAUUGGGUAGAUUACGUGUUACAGUGAUUCAAUUUGUGUUCCAAACUUUGCUUUAAUUUUCUGUUUUCCCCAACUAUUUAUGUCAAAUUUAAAUCCAGAAGCAUGUACUGAUUUUUUCUUUUUGUAUUAAUCUGUGAAGUUUAUUUGGAAUGGAAGUAACUGGGUCGGGUCUAAUGGAUUAAAUUAUGACAUUGAGGGGAAGGCACUAAAAGGGUUUGCUUGACACAUUUGGUUCUGUGUUUACUCUGCAAGAAAUAACUUUUGCUUAUUGCAAUGCAGGGGGAAAUCCCGAUUUGGCUGGUGAAUUUCUCUGCAACAAACAGGCAAACACCUCAACAUCUUCUGUCCAUACUUCUGCUGGGGAGGCAAGGGGUAAAGAGUCUUCAAAAUCAUCAAAUAGUUACAUCUCUGAGAAUUCAUUUUAUGGAAAUGGAAAAUCUAGAGUUUCUAAUACAAAAUGGCAUCUGGUAUCAGGACGUACCGUUUCAAGUUUUCUUGGUAAAGAUUAUGUUAAACCUGCACAGCCAGCUAAUGGCACUUUUCUGGCAUCAAAGCCAUUGAAGUUGGAUCCAAGGGAGUUUCGCAUUUCUGCACUUUCAGAGAAGAAACUAAACCGAAACAAUCAAAGGAUGACCAUUUGCAGAAGGAUAUGGAAGAUUUUCUUUUUAAAUUGCUAGGAGAAGGGUUCCAGCUGUACAGGGAUGUGAUUCAGGAGGUUCAUGGUAACGUCUUAAAUAUAUUGAUGCCAAUUUAAUACAUAUUGUCCUUUUCAAUGUUCUUUCUUUCUUUCUCCUCUUUUUAUUCUUCUUCUUCUUCUUUUUUCUUUUCAUGUGCAUGUGAUCACUAAUUUGGUAUUAUUCUUGACUUGCAGAUAGUUGUGGAUAUGAAAUGCAAAAAGGUAAGGGCUAUAUCUUCUUGAUGGAGGCCUCUGAUUUUUUAAAUCGCAUUUUCCUUUGUGAUUGAUAUAUCAUACCAAAGUCAAGUCUUAAAUACUGCUGUCAUAUGUUAAGGUUCAACUUCCAUUUUGAUUAACGUCGAUUUGCUACUGCUUCCAAAAGUGAGAAUGAGAUACUUUGGUUAAUUUCAGUAGUUGAACUCAAUAGAAUACUUUAUUUAGAUCUUCAUGGUUCAAAGGCCUGAAAAAGCUUGCCGGUAUUUGCAAAAUGACAUCUGUGCUUUUAUUUAGACUUAUUAUUAAAGACAACAUUUUAUUUCAGCCAAAAAUGUUUGUUUCAAUUAAAGACUUGAACCAUUUUCAUUUAACCUGAUUGUGAUGCUUUACAUUAUGCAUGUUCCUCUCAAUCAAUAAAAGUUGAGGUCAUGAUUUUAUAUUUCUAUUUUGUAACUUGAAAUAAUUGGUCUGCCUGUUUCUGUUGCUUGAUAACAUGAAUUUUUCCUUCUGAAGUUAAUUUGAUCAAUAAAGUAAUUCUUCGGAGAGGAUAUGCCCAUUCUAUAGUCAUUUUCUUAGCUAACAUGUUUUUUCUUCACUCUUCAGAGCAUGUCUAAACUAAUUGAUCGCUCAGCGGAGACUUUGGGUGAGAAGACAAAAUUUCUUGGUAAAUCCUCUGAAAAGGUAUGCAUAAUUCCCGAGUAUUAAAUAAUCAUUGGUCAUAAUUUUUGUACACGACUCUUUUUUUGGAGAUCGUUAAAAGUGGUUGAUGAUCUAUUUUGUAAUAUCAGAGAGGGAUCAUGAAUUCUUUUCUUUUCUGUGGCUAGGCAACACUUUCGAGCCAAGCUAAGGAAAUCUAUUUUAGGUAAUGUGAAAACCAGUUGUAGGAUGUAAUAGUUUAUUAUGCCCUGACAAUAACUUUUUGUAUAAUUGUCAGUUUAAUGAAUACAAGAGGAACUCUGUUGGCAAGUUCAUCCAUGAUAGAUGCUAAAAUUAUUUAUGCAUACCAGUUGCCUUAACUAAUUUUUCUCAACACUGGUAUUGAACAGGAAAAUGAAUAUGCAAUUUGUAUAUUGUGCCAUUGUGGAGAAUUUGGAUAUUCUUAUUUAAGUAACAAGGAGAGUAUUUGCCUCAUCUUUAAACAAUGAAUCUUUGAGAAAUGAGGAGUGGGUGAUUGGCAGUGUCUUCAUGUAAAUGUUCAUUUACUUGUAUUUUGAACUAUUAUGAGAAUCUUUGUAUGCCAAAUUAGUAAUACAAAUGUUCAGAUGAUUUUUCCUGUUGAUCAUGCGUGUGUAUCUGCACACAACCAUUGUGUACCACUUUAUUCUGAUGCACAAAUAUCUGUAGUUUAGAAGAAAAGAAAUAAUAAUCAUAUAUUAUUGCUUGGUUCAUGAUUAUUAAAUGAUUAUGGCUUUAGAAAAUCCACAAAUCCUUUGUGUUCAUUUAUGAAUGUGCGAAGUUCGCUAUAUCUUAGAUUACCUUCUUCCAAGAUAACAAGUUCAUAUAUUUUUUUUAAUCCUUUUUCAUCACAGUUGAAUUUCAAGUGUAAGUUUUGUUAUUAAUAGCUGGUUUCCUGUUAUUAUGAUUUCAUAAACAAUGAGAGGAUAUGUGCUCUACUUUUGGAGGGCCUCCACAUAAAAGAAAAUUGCAACAAUUGAAUUCUUCUGGAGGGUAUGGUAUUUAAUUUAUUUUCUCAGCUUGUUGUAAGACUAAUAUAUUUCCUUCAGUACGCACGGCAUGGUGGGAAGGGUUUUUAUUGAAAGAAUUAUGAUAUUUCUUAGACUUUGUUUUGGAAGGGGGUGGAGGGAUUUCUCAUCCAUAUAUGGUUACUUGAUUAGCUUUUGACUGUAUUGUCUCCGUCGUGCAAAGGAAAAUCCAAAUACUAACGAAGGGGAAUUGGUUAGGCACCCAAAGGACAGAAAUGAAUUACGGAAGGAAGUUUUUGCUGCUUUAUUUAGUGCUGCUGAGAAAUCUGAUGAAUUUCCUGAAAUUACGGUGAAGACGGAGUGGAGGUCCAACGCAUUAGGAAAGGUGGUGAGAGAACCGCCAGAGGAAUUAGUACCAGAAUACAAGGCUAAUGUGGUGCACUGGCAGCAAGAUGACCAGACCUGUAUGUGCUCUUAUAUUAACUAUAUUGGCUGGAUUUGUGAGUGUGUACAUUUUUGUGUGUAUACUCACUUUUGUAUUUAUGCAUAUUCACGUGUGUAGGAUUCUCGAUUUCUGCCACUUACUGGAGAACUAGUGGAAAGCUUUAUACUGAUAUAUGUGCUAUAUAACUAAUGGAAACUACAAUAUGAAUAUUUUCUCUCACCUGGAGAGCAGUGUAACUGAUAUAAUUUGUGGCUCUGGAAUACUGAAGAUUCUGCAAUAACUAAUGGAAAAUAUGAUAUGAAUAUUUUUUCUCACCUGGAGAACUUUGUAACAGAUACAUUUUGUGCUGGAAUGUCUAAAGAAUGCUUCAGUUUAGAUCAAAUAUCUUUUAGUUAGAAAAGAUAAAAUUCUCUGAAUCUGAAAGACUGAAACAUUUUGCAUAUUUCGUGAAAGGCAAGUAUCUGUAGAUACUAGCUCAUGCAUUGAGGUAAUAUCAAUGUUAAAGAAAAACAGCAAUAAUUUAUUAUACAGAAUUAGGUUCACUUGCUUUAAAUGCUGGUCUGAUCAACCAUAUCAACCUGUAAUGGUCCUGCAGAAAUAUAUAUACGGGGAGAAACUAGCUAAUUUUCCUUUCACUUAUGGGUUUGGUCUUUUUUUCCCCAAUUUUUCAGCUUUCCUUCUCCUGAAGUAUGUUAACAAUUGCAGAUAAUGGCGAAGAGGACCGCUUCCAGGCUACCGGCAAAAACUUUGUGAAAGCUUUGGAGUUAAACAGGGAAUUCACUUACUGCUAAGGACAAUUGGUGGCGAGCUAUUUCAUUCAUUUUAUGUCCAUACAUCUAUUUAAUUAUUAAAGAUAAUGUACGCAUUUGUAAAUUUCAGAUUGCGUGUCUCUGAAAAUAACAAUAUUUAAAAUGUCUCUUAAAUUAUUAUAAAUUUUAAUUUACUCUCGAUUUAAAAUGGAACAUGUUGGUGAAAUAUUUUUUCUUCUUAAUAAAAUUGAAAUAAAUUAUGUUAGCAGUAGUUUGAAAUAUUUUAAAGAUGAUUAUUUUAUAAGGGAGUAAUAUGAAAUGAAAUUUACUUUUCAUGCGUGAAAUGUUGAAAAAGGACAAAGCAAGUGUCCCUGCUUUUAUUUUAUUUCAAAGUGGAGUCAUCUCACAUACUUUAGCUCUAUCAUUAGGAGCCGGCUAAGUUACGUUAAACGUAACUUACGCCAGGCACAACAACAGUGACAAGUCCCAUCACUAGCACUGUUGCUGUGUUUGGCGUAAGUUACGUUUAACGUAACUUAGCCAAAGCCCUAUCAUUAAUAUAUAUUUAAAUUUAACACAUGCAUGUGGGUUACUUUUCCGUAAGUUCCUUAAUAUAUAUUUAACACAAAUCAUGGAAGAGAUGGGAGUAUAUCAAGAUGAUCAAAGCAUGAAACAAAAAUAUUUAAGAAGUAAAACACUGAAAAUGGAGAAGAGAUGCAAGCAAAAGAUAUUCUAAAGAAAAGCAAUCUAUCCCCUUUCGAGGGUAAACUUACCAGGUUUAAGAAAAGUACAUGCUUUGGAUUGGUAGUUGCAGCCUUGCAGGAUAAUUGUUUUUGCCACUAUAUUAGUUGGAGGAGUUGAACCCAGUGAAGAAUGUUAUGGAAGAGCAAAUGAUAUUUCUGAUAGACUCUAUUUGAUUAUGUAGCCUGAAUAGAUGUCUUGUUGAAAGAUAUAUCAGUGCAUUAGUUCAUCCUUGUCUGUCAAUGUGUUUUUAAUGGUUUUUCCAAUUGUUUAUUGCUAUAGAUUGAUUGUAAAUUGAUGUGAACUUAAUGUUGAAAUAUUUUCUCUUUAGUGAAAUGAAAGUUAAACAUUCAAUAUUAGAUUAUUCAAGGUCCACAUAGUAUGUGUUCCGUUGUGUUGUCUGUAAUUUUGCAUUUAAAUAAAUUUGAGUGCUGCCGUUUCGCUCCCACAAUCUCUCGCCUUUUUUUAAUUUUAAAAAUUAAAAUAUUAAUAAAAAACAAUAAAGAAAAUCGAAUCCUUUAUGUCAUUCCAUCUUUACAACUCUCUCUCACAAACUCCAUCUAACAGACUUCUCUCUUACUAUCUCGGUCGAACAAGACCAGUGACAAUGAUGACACGACCGCCGACGAUGAGAUGGUCAUCGCUAAAGAAUCGGGCCGUGUAUUUUACAAUUUCUUGGUUUGUGUUGGUGUAAGGAUUUGCAGGAGCAAUUACUGCCUAGCCAAGCCCUUGAAACUUUGGUCAAAAUUAUUGUUAUUAUUACUUUUAGAGGAAAAACUUUUAUUAAAACCUCAUUAACACAAUUCUUAAUUAAAAUUAUAAGUUUGUGUUGGUGUAAGGAUUUGCAGGAGCAAUUACUGCCUAGCCAAGUGUCAAAAGCACAAAAUAAAUCAAGAGAAAGUAGACAUGAAUUAGGAUCCAAUGAAAUUUAAAUCCCGGACAAAAGAAAUAAUCAUGCAGAUUAUCAAGAUUUCAAUAAGGGAUAUUGAUAUCCUAUUUUGAUUAAUAAUAUCCUUUUACUGUGUUAACUCAAAAAAUAUGUAUAUUCUAAUAUUUUACAAUAAAUAGAAAUCUAAUAUUAAAAUAAAUGUGAUAUAUAUAUAUAUAUAUAUAUAUAUAUAUAUAUAUAUAUAUAUAUAUAUAUAUAUAUAUAUAUAUAUAUAUAUAUUAAAUAAUUUAAAUAUAAAAAAUAUUUUAAUGUUUUACAAUCUACUACACAUAUUUUAUUAAGUUAAUAUAAUUUUUCAAAUAAAUAGGGACAUAAUAUUAAAAUAAAUUUAUAAAAAUUUAAAUUAUUUUGAAUUUAAAAUAAUUUUAAUAUUAUUAAUAUGUUAGAUAUGUUUGAUUAAUUAUAAAAAUUAUUUAAGCAAAUUUUUUUAAUAUUUUCAGUAGAUAUAAAUAUAUUACUUACAUUUUGAUUAUUUAACUAUUAUUAUUCUACAAUUAUUUAUAUAAUGUUUGCACUUAUUAGAAUAUAUUUAAAGUCAAAUCUUUUGCACUUCUACCUAGCUAGAAUUAUUGCACGCAGAGAAAUAAGCAUAUAUGCUUUAUAACUUUAGAAAUCGAAUUAUCUAUACAAAUUGAUUUUAGCUGGAAAAAAAGUGAGCUGAAUGAUAUAGGCGAUUAGUGUGGUAAUAUUUCAUAGAGUUAGACUAUUGAAUUUGGCACCCCUCCAAUCUUCUCAUGAUUACCUUUUUGAGUUAUUAAUACACUUCUAAUUUUUCGUUUAAUUUUUUUUAUUGUUAUACUCAAAGUAGUAUUGUGAUAUUUUAUAUUUCUUUUGCAAUCUUAUUAUUAUUUUACACAAAAAUUAAAAAGUUUUCUAGGUGAUGAACUUUUGAGUUUUGAACAUUAAUCAUUGGCUUAAAUUUCAUAUAUUUUACAUUAUAAUUUGAAAUUAAGUACGAAAAUAUUUAAUAAAUUAUGAAAAGAUUAACAUAUUAUUCUAAAUUGAUACAACUUAUUUUAGUUAAAUAAAAAGUAACAGGUAAAAAAAAAAAGGAUUGGUUAUGAAAUUUGUUGGAAAAAAAUAUGUGUGUGUUUAAUUUUUAUUUGUCCUUAAUUGUAAUUUAUUUGAAGUGAGGUUUUAUAAGGAUAAUGAAGGGGUGCCAUAGUUUCACUCUAUUUCAUAUGGAGAGAGAAGUAAAAGGUACACCUGAGGUUAAUGGAAAGGACUUCGAAAGUUUCUUUUGAUUAUAAUACUGUUUGUUCUAAUUAACUUAAAAAAUUUUACUUUAAUAUUUUAUAAUAAAUUAAAUUUUAAUCUUAAAAUAAGUAUAAUCAUAUAUUUUAAAAUAAUCUUAAAAUAAAUACAAUCAUAUAUUUUAAAAUAAUCUUAAAAUAAAUACAAUCAUAUAUUUUAAAAUAAUCUUUAUAUUUAAAAUUUAUUUAUUUGUACAUAUUUUAUAUAAAUUUUAUAAUAAAUAUAACACAUACUAUUAAAAUAAUAUAUAAAAAAUUAAAGUAUUUUGAAUAUUAUAUAAAAUAACUUUAAGAUUCUUAAUAUGUAAGAUAUAUUUUAUUAAUUUAAAAUUCUAUUUAAAAUUUUAUUAAUUUAAAAUUCUAUUUAACCCAAAGAUUUAUUUAAGAUAAAUUAAUAAUCAUAUUUUUUAAAUCAUUUCAAAUAUUAAAAAAUAUUUUGAUAUUACUAGUCUAUUAAAUAGAUUAAAUAUUUUUAUUAUUUUGUACUAAUCAAAAGUUACAGCUCGAAUGAUAUUAUGAGAAAACAGAAUUUUUAUGUCUUUAUUAAAAAUUUGGGUUUGUAUAAUUAUUUUUUCAAAUGUUAGGGGCAUAGCUGUCUUUUUACUUUUAUAUAUGUGAACCGCGGUGGUGAAAAAGUGUGAUUUAAUAUUUGUUAUUUAAAUAAUAUCUGAAUUAAAGAUGUACAGAGAAGAAAUUUCGGUGGGCAUUUUAGUCUUUUAACGAUUAUCAUGAUUAGGGAUUAGGUCCUGCUCUUGAAACGUUGGUCAGAAAAGUUCUAAAAUGCGUACAUUAUCUUUACUUUAAAAAAGUUAUUUUAUUUUAUUACAAAUUAAUGCCGACAAGAAAAAGCAAGAUCUUUAAAAUUCCACAAACGUAAUAUUCCGCAAAAGAUUAUUGCACACAGAGAAAUAAACAUAUAUACUUUAUAACUUUAGCAAUCGAUUCUUUUAGAGCUGGAAACAGAGAUGAUGAUUAUCAUAAAGAUGAAGAAAAGGGCAAAAAAAUAUUAAUGAUUAACGAAAUCUCUAUCCAAAUUGAUUUUAGCAGGAAAAAAGUGAGCUAAAUGAUGUAGACGAUUAGUGGUAAUAUUUCAUAGAGUUAGACUAUUGGCACCCUUCCAAUCUUCUCACGAAUCCUCUUUUUGAGUUAUAUUUAUUUUAUUUUUAAAAUAUCUUUUUUCUCUUUUACUACACUUCUAAUUUUUCAUUUAAUUUUUUUAUUGUUAAACUCAAAGUAGUAUUGUGAUAUUUUUAAUUUCUUUUGCAAUCUUAUUAUUACUCUGCAUAUAAAUUAAAAAGUUUUUUAGGUGAUGAAUUUUUGAAUGUUAAUCAUUAGCUUAAAUUUCACAUAUUUUACAUUACAAUUUGAAAUUUAAUAUGAAAAUAUUUAAUCAAUAAGAAUUAUGAAAAGAUUAAUAAAUUAUUCUAAAUUUAUACAACUUAUUUUAGUUAGAUCAGAAGUAGCAGGUUAACAAAAGAAAGGAUUGGUUAUGAAAUUUGUUGGAAAAAAAUCUAUGUGUGUUUAAUUUUUAUUCGCUGUUAACUCUAAUUAAGUAGGUUAAAUAUUUUUGUUAUUUUUUACUUAUCAAAAAAUUUAAGAUCAAUAUUUUUAGUUACCAUUCGAAGGAUAUUAUGACAAAAACAGAAUUUUCACGUCUUUGUUAAAAAUUUGGGGGUUUGUAUAACUAUUUUUUCAAAUGUUAGGGGCAUAUCUGUCUUUUUACUCUAUAUAUAUAAACCAUGGUGGUGAAAAAGCGUGAUUUAAUGUUAUUUAUUUAAAUAAUAUCUCAAUUAAAAAUGUAAGGAGAAGAAAUUUCGGUGGGCAUUUUAGUCUUUUAACGAUUAUCAUGUUUAGGCCCUGGUCUUGAAACGUUGGUCAGAAAAGUUCUAAAAUGCGUUCAUUUGUCUUUACGCCAACAAUAAAAAGCAAGAUCUUAAUGUUCCACAAAAGCAAAUCGUAAUAUUCCGCAAUGGAGUUAGAUCCGCAAAAGCAAACAAAUUCUUUUAUUAAACUACAAAUUAAAGUGGAAUCGUUUACUAAACAUCAAAUUAAAGUUCAAAUAUUUAAAUAGUAGUGCGUUAGACGAUUAGAGACUCUUAUUAAAGGCAAGUAUAAAGUAGUGAAGAAUCGAAUAUUUCUAUUGUCUAGUCUUUUUUUUUUUAAAUUUUUCUUCUAUUACUUUUCAAAAUAGUUUUUGGUGAUUAUAAUCGGGUUAUUAUUCAGAGUUAUUGUUAUCUUCCGGGGCAGUUUCUGUUCAUCGAAUUCGUUAAUAAAAUUUUAAAACUCUUAUUGAAAGAAUGUUUUUCCGUUAUCUUUUUUAUAAUCUAAUUUUAAGUGUAAGAAGUAGUCAUUUUAGAAUUUGGGUCUUGAAUCGAAUUUCAAUGCAUGAAUUAAUAUUUAAAAAAAAUUUACUACAUGCAGUUUAGGUUACAAACUAUUUUUUGCAAAGUUGACUAUGAAAUUGGAGAAAUUAAGUAAUUUAUAAUGUUUGCAAAGAAAGAGACUAACAUACUUCCAAUUACACUAUAUCUCAAUUAUCAUAAUGUUAAGAUUAAACUAACUUAAAAUAAAAUUUAUUUAAAAAGUUUAUCAAACGCAGUCUAAUUUUAUUAACUUGAAGAGAUAAUAGUUAUAGAAAUUAUUAUUCUAACUUGAUUAGUACAAGUGGUAUAAAGGUUAAGUGUGCACUAAAUCUAUUUAAAUUUUUUUCCAGUAUAACUAACAGAGGUCAUUACUAGAAUUAUAUUACUAGUCUAUUAGAUAGAAAAAAUUAUUUAUAUUGUUUUAUAUUUAUUAAAAAAAUUUAAAGUCAAUCUUUUUAAUUACUAUUUAAAGGAUAUUAUAAUUAAAAAAAUUUUAAUGUCUUCAUUAAAAAUUUAAAAAUUUAUAUGACCGUUAUCUAAAUAUUUAAAGUGUAACUGUCAUUUUCUCAUAUAUAUAUAAUUUCAUCUAACCCCUUAUACUUUAUGUUAUUUAUAUUUUAUUCAUGAAUAUUAUAAAUUUUUUGAAAUAUAAAAUUUCAUUUAACCCCUUAUACUCAAUUUUAUUUUAUUAAAACCCUAGAGUAUGAAUUCGCCCCUAUAAUAUUAAAUUCUCAAAAUAACCUCUAUUUAAUUAAAAAAUAUAAUUAUUGUUAAAUGAAUUAUAAUUAUUAUUAUUAUGUUAUUAUAAUCAUAAAAAGCGAGAUCAUAUUCCACAAAAGCAUAAGUGACAAAACAACCAACUGGAUUCUUUUAUUAAUCAACAAAUUGUAUAGUCUUUUUCAAAUUGUUAUAAAUUGGUGGCCCCUACAAUCCUCAAUAAUUGUACCGAUAUUCACAAGUUGGUGGCCCCUACAAUUCUGUUCCGAUAAUUUAACUGUGCAAGUGCUCAUUCACAAUCUUCCAGGUCAUGCUCUUAAUAAUUGUUUUUUCUUUUCUGCACUCCCUUUCAUGCUCUUAAUAAUUGAAGAGCAUACUUUUCAAAUGUGAAGCCGCAUCUAAUGUCGCUAAUUUAAUUUGGGAUUAAAUUACGGGACUAUUAUAUUGCAGUGUGCACUAAUUUUUAUGUUUAUCUAAACUCUUCAAAUUUAAAACAUAUUAUGGCAUAAAUAAGAAUGUAACAAUAACAAAAGAGUAAGAAAGUGUAGAGAAAAUCUUGCAGAAAUAUAAAUAAUAUUUAUUUUUAAAAUAAUAUUAAUAUUUAAAAUAAUUUUUAAUAUUUUAUGGUCCAUUAGAUAUAUUUUAUUAUAUUAAAAUAAAUUUUAUAAUAAAUAAAAACAUACUAUUAAAAUGAAUAUAUAGAAAAUUUAGAGUAUUUUAAGUAUUAUAUAAAAUAAUUUUAAUAAAAUAUGUGAGAUAUUCAUAUUUUAUUAAUUUAAGAUACCAUUUAACCUAAAGAUUUAUUUAUGAUAAAUUAAUAAUUAUAUUUUUGAAAUUACUUCAAAUAUUAAAAAAAAUUAAUAUUACUAAUAUAUUAGAUAGAUUAAAUUAUAUAUAUUAUUUUUACUUAUUAAAAAAAUUUUAAAAUUAUUUUUAAUUACUAUUCAAAAAACAUAUUCAAAAAACAUAAUGAUAAAAAAAUCUUAACAUCUUUAUUAAAAAAUUAAAAACUUAUAUGAUAAAUUCUCUAAAUAUUUACGGUAUAUGUGAACCACGGUGGAGAAGCUUUAUUUAAUAUUAUUGAUUUAAAUAAUAUGUCAAUUAAAAAUGUACAGAGAAGAAAUUUCGGUGGGUAUUUUAGUCUUUUAAGCAAUUAUCAUGAUCAGAUCAGCCUUUAGCCUUCAAACGUCGGUCAUAAAAGUUUUAAAAUUAAUGCUAAAUUGUUUUUCACUUUUAACGUUGGUGGCCUUGAAAUUGCUUGUAUUUUAUUAAAAAUUAAUGCUAACAAGAAAAAGCUAGGUCAUAUUCCACAAAAUCAAAAGUGACAAAACAACCAGCUGGUUUCUUUUACUAAACUACAAAUUAAAAUAAAUUUUUUCGAUAAAUUACAAAUUAAAGUGGAUUCUUUUGAAUACAAAUAGGACAGACGAUUAGGCUCUUUUUAUUAGAGGCAAGUAAAAACUAGUCAAGAAUCGAACAGUCUUUUUCCAAUUCUUGUUUUAUUAUUUUUCAAAACUAGUUUUUGGUAAUUACAACCGGGUCAUUAAUCAUUAUUCAGAGUUACUGUUAGUCUAUUAUCUUCGGGGGCAGUGGGUAAAAGAUAAUUACUAACUGUUUUUCCUUCAAAAGUUAGCGGCUCAUGUUUGCAAGUGUGAAUGUGCGAUGCUCUUUUCUUAAAGGCCAUUACAGUGGGGCCCGAAUCAGACGUGCCUAAAUCUUUUUAAAAUUUUUGCCGUAUAACGAACAGAGGUCAUUACUAAAAUUUCUCUUCCACAGCCUACAGCAGCUUCAGUUUAUCAAACUCCAUCAAUUUUCUUUCUUAACAAAAUUCCAAAGAUGUGUAGCAUUUUUCAGAUCACAUGCGACGGUGCUCUUUUCAAUCGUUGCUUGGAUUGCUUUCUUGGAAAAGCAGCAUACAUACGUAACCUCCAAGAUAAUCUUGUAGCCUUGGAGACUGAAUUGGGAAAUCUAAUCGCAAUAAAGAACGAUCUGAUGAGGAGGGUUGACGAUGAUGAACGGAAACAAAUGAUAAGGCUGGAAAGAGUGCAACGGUGGAUUUCGAGGGUGGAUGCUGUUAAAACUGAAGCUGAUCAAUUUAUAGGAGACCGCUCUCAAGAAAUUGAAAAAUUAUGUGUUGGAGGCUACUGUUCCAAGAACUGCAGGUCAAGCUACAAGUUCGGAAAACAAGUGGCUAAAAAGCUACAAGAUGUGAAGACUUUAAUCGCCGAGGGAGUUUUUGAGGCGGUGGCUACUGAGGUGGUGGCUGAGAGAGCUCCGGAACCUGUAGCAGAUAAAAGACCCAUUGAGCCAACAAUAGUAGGCUUGCAAUCACAGCUUGAACAAGUUUGGAGAUGUCUUGUAGAAGAAUCAGUGGGAAUCAUUGGCCUAUAUGGUAUGGGUGGUGUUGGUAAAACCACACUAUUGACCCGUAUCAACAAUAAAUUUCUUGAGAGUCAAAACAACUUUGAUUGUGUGAUUUGGGUCGUAGUUUCAAAAGACCUGCGGCUUGAAAAAAUUCAAGACGAUAUUGGGAAGAAGAUAGGUCUGUCUGAUGAUUCAUGGAAGAAUAAAAGUUUUGAAGAGAAAGCUGUGGACAUCCUGCGGAGAUUAGGAGAGAAGAGAUUUGUAUUGUUGUUAGAUGAUUUAUGGGAGCGGGUUGAUUUAACAAAAGUGGGCGUUCCACUUCCCAGCGCACAAAAUACUACCUCAAAAGUCGUAUUCACAACCCGUUCCAUUGGUGUUUGUGGCAGCAUGAGAGCUAGGCCGGUUAAAGUGGCAUGCCUAUCAGAAAAGCAAGCUUGGGAACUGUUCCGCGAAAAUGUUGGGGAAGAAACUCUUGAGAGUGAUCAUGAGAUCGUUGAGCUAGCCCAAACUGUGGCCAAAGAGUGUGGUGGUUUGCCACUCGCACUUAUUACUAUUGGUCGAGCUAUGGCCUUCAAAAAGACAGCCGAGGAGUGGAGUCAUGCAAUUGAUGUGCUAAGAACAUCAGCUUCUGAGUUUGCAGGUUUGGGAGAGAAGGUGUAUCGUCUUUUAAAGUUUAGCUAUGAUAGUUUGCAGAAUGAGACCAUUAGAUCUUGUUUCUUAUAUUGUUGUUUAUAUCCCGAGGAUUAUGGCAUUCUUAAAUGGGACUUGAUUGAUUGUUGGAUUGGUGAGGGAUUCUUGGAGGAAUCUGACAGGUUUAGUGCAGAAAACCAAGGAUACUACAUUGUGGGCACUCUUGUUCAUGCGUGUUUGCUAGAAGAGAUGGAAGAUGAUAAAGUAAAAAUGCAUGACGUUGUUCGUGAUAUGGCUUUAUGGAUAGCUUGUGAAAUUGAGAAGGAGAAGAGAAACUUUUUGGUUUGUGCAGGUGCUCGAUUAGAAGAGGCACCGGGUGUUAAAGAAUGGGAAAAUGUGAGAAGAUUGUCAUUGAUGCAAAACCAAAUUGAAACUGUGUCAGAGAUUCCCGCAUGCCCUCAUCUCCAUACUCUAUUUCUUGCCUCUAAUAGGAAUUUCAGGAUGAUCACGGAUGGCUUCUUUCAAUUUAUGCCUUCUCUCAAAGUUUUGAAGAUGUCACGCUGUGGGCAAUUCGAAGGUUUUCAAUUACCUGUUGGGAUGUCAGAGUUGGGUUCAUCACUAGAACUUCUUGAUAUUUCACAUACCACCAUAAGAGAGUUACCCGAAGAGUUAAAGUUGCUGGUAAAUCUGAAAUGUUUGAAUUUGAGGUGGACAGGUGCGUUAAUUAGAAUUCCACGGGGACUAAUAUCAAAAUUUUCAAGGUUACGUGUGUUGAGAAUGUUGGGUACUGGCGGGUUCAUUUUUUAUGAAGCACCAGAAGACAGCGUUUUAUUUGGUGGGGGUGAAGUUUUGAUACAGGAAUUGCUCGGUUUGAAAUAUUUAGAGGUAUUGGAGUUGACCUUGGGAAGUUAUCAUGCUCUCCAAAUUGUUUUGAGCUCAAAUAAGUUAAAAAGUUGUAUUCGAUCUCUUUACCUCUAUUUGACCGGAGAUAAAAAGUCGAUUAUUGAUGCUACGGCUUUCACAGACCUAAACCACCUCAAUGAAUUAUGGAUUGAUAAUGGAAUUGAGUUGGAAGAAUUGAAGAUUGAUUAUACGGAGAUAGUACGAAAAAGGCGGG
rnacentral:lncRNA from 1 species